rnacentral:rRNA from 1 species
GACGAACGCUGGCGGCGUGCUUAACACAUGCAAGUCGAGCGGUAAGGCCCUUCGGGGUACACGAGCGGCGAACGGGUGAGUAACACGUGGGUGAUCUGCCCUGUACUUCGGGAUAAGCCUGGGAAACUGGGUCUAAUACCGGAUAUGACCUUGGAUUGCAUGGUCUUUGGUGGAAAGAUUUAUCGGUACAGGAUGGGCCCGCGGCCUAUCAGCUUGUUGGUGGGGUAAUGGCCUACCAAGGCGACGACGGGUAGCCGGCCUGAGAGGGCGACCGGCCACACUGGGACUGAGACACGGCCCAGACUCCUACGGGAGGCAGCAGUGGGGAAUAUUGCACAAUGGGCGAAAGCCUGAUGCAGCGACGCCGCGUGAGGGAUGACGGCCUUCGGGUUGUAAACCUCUUUCGACAGGGACGAAGCGCAAGUGACGGUACCUGUAGAAGAAGCACCGGCCAACUACGUG